UUUUUAUGGAGAGUUUGAUCCUGGCUCAGGAUGAACGCUGGCGGCGUGCCUAAUACAUGCAAGUCGAGCGAACAGACGAGGAGCUUGCUCCUCUGACGUUAGCGGCGGACGGGUGAGUAACACGUGGAUAACCUACCUAUAAGACUGGGAUAACUUCGGGAAACCGGAGCUAAUACCGGAUAAUAUAUUGAACCGCAUGGUUCAAUAGUGAAAGACGGUUUUGCUGUCACUUAUAGAUGGAUCCGCGCCGCAUUAGCUAGUUGGUAAGGUAACGGCUUACCAAGGCAACGAUGCGUAGCCGACCUGAGAGGGUGAUCGGCCACACUGGAACUGAGACACGGUCC
rnacentral:rRNA from 1 species